AGGGAAUCUUCCACAAUGGGCGAAAGCCUGAUGGAGCAACGCCGCGUGAGCGAAGAAGGUCUUCGGAUCGUAAAGCUCUGUUGUAAGGGAAGAACAAGUGCAGUAGUAACUGACUGCACCUUGACGGUACCUUACGAGGAAGCCACGGCUAACUACGUGCCAGCAGCCGCGGUAAUACGUAGGUGGCAAGCGUUGUCCGGAAUUAUUGGGCGUAAAGCGCGCGCAGGCGGUCUUUUAAGUCUGAUGUGAAAGCCCCCGGCUUAACCGGGGAGGGUCAUUGGAAACUGGGAGACUUGAGUGCAGAAGAGGAAAGUGGAAUUCCAAGUGUAGCGGUGAAAUGCGUAGAGAUUUGGAGGAACACCAGUGGCGAAGGCGACUUUCUGGUCUGUUACUGACGCUGAGGCGCGAAAGCGUGGGGAGCAAAC
rnacentral:rRNA from 1 species